ensembl:lncRNA
UAGUUAAGUUGAUAAAUAAGAGCAAAACUAAUGUACAUAUAUAUGUUUAUAUGUAUAUAUGUUUAUAUGUAUAUAUGUUUAUAUGUAUAUAUGUUUACAUAUGUAUAAACAUAAAUACAUGAAGUUUAAAUUUUAAAAUUAAUACAAUUAUUUAGUUUUAAAAAAUUAAAAAUUAAAAGUUAAAAAUUAACGAAAUGGCAGAAAUAGCAAAAAUAGUUAAUGAUCGCAUCCUUGUUUAUGUUUUAAAAAAGAAAAGUAAUGCAAUGUUUAAAUAAAAACAAGAUAAACAUAACAUUUUGUUCUUUUUUGUAAUAAAAAUGUGAAAAAAAAAAAAAAGUUUUUUUUUUUUUUUUUUUUUUUUUUUUUUUUUUUUUCUUGUGUUUGCUUCACAGUUCUCCGUUUCUUAUAUUAUAAUGUAUAAACUAUAAAAAGACACUUUUUAUUUGAAUUAAGCAUUAGCAACCUUCACAUUUUUUUUUUUUUUUUUUUUUAAGUCAUUAUUUUUAAUUUAUAAUGUGACAGUUGAUGUUUUCCUUGGUUUUCUUUUCUUUUGUUUUGUCAAUUUUUUUUUUUUUUAUAUUACCCACCAAUACGUUUAAUACGUACAUAUACUUACAAAUACAUGUAUAUAUAUACCUACAUAUUUCUAUAUAUGUAUAUGCACAUUUUCCAAAUAAAAUGGUAAGGGAGGCACACGAACUACUAGAUGGUAGUAGACCUAUCCCCAUUGAUAAGAUUACGUACGAAUUAUCUCAAAAUAUUAUAUUAGCUUUUGACAGUUAUGAAAAUAUCAGAAAUAAUAAAGAUGUUCAAAUAGAAAUAGAAGCUAGAGUUGGGAUAGUAAUUGAUAAAAAUAAAAAAAGAUUAAUAUUACCAAUUAAUACAGAUGCCAUUGUAGAGCAUAAGUACUCUGAUUUUCAGUCAGGUAUUGACAAAGAUUCUUUUGAAUACCUUUUAAAUUAUAUGCGUACUAUAACAAAAAAAAAAUAUAAAAAAAAUGAUAAAAAAAUAAUAAAUGGAAGUAAAGAUAUUUUAUAUAAUAAUAAAUAUAAUAAAAAUGUGUUUCUUUUUAAUACAUAUGACAAUAGUAAAAUUAUUAAAAAUAAUGAAUUGAUAAAAAUAAAUAAUUUUAAUUUAACUGAUGUAAUGGUUGGAUGUGACAAAAAUGGUGACAAAAAGGAUGACAACACUGAUGGUAAACAUAUUAAAAUAAUAUCCCAAGUUAACAAUACAAACGAUAAUAAUAAUUAUAUUUAUAAUUUUUUAAGUUUAAGACCGCAUAAAAGCAUAGAUAAAUAUUACGUAUUAAAUAAUAACAGUCCUAUGCAAAGAAGAGUUAGAACAACAACAAAUUUAAAUGAAGAAAAAAAACCUAACAAUGAAUAUAUAAUAAGUUCUUUAUAUAAAGAAAAUAUAAAUACAUGGAAUGUUUAUUUAGGAAACAAUGAAGAUUAUUUUGACGACGAUUAUGAAUAUGAUUGUGAUGAUGUUGUUGUUAGUAAUGAGAAUAAUAUAAUUAAUCAAAGCGAUUUGUUAGAUUAUCGUAUAGCUAUAAAUUUGGAAUAUACUCAAUCUAUUAGUAAACUUUUUUUAUCUAAAAUAACACCAGUAUAUGAAAGAACCAAAGAAAGAAGUACUUUUAUUAAUAAAUAUUUAGGUAUACAAUUAGAUUUAACAAAAAUUAAAACAUCAACUAAUCAAGAUUUGUAUGAAGUAGAAAUAGAAAUACCUACUAAAAGCAUUAUUAAAGCUAUGACUAAUUUAAGGGAAAAAAAUGAUUCUAAUUAUUUAUAUUUUAUUUGUUCUAAUGUAAUAAACAAUGUUAGAGGAAUAUGUAAACAGUUAAGUAUUUUCAAAAAAAAUAAAAACAUAAGUAAGCAAUCUACUACUACUACUACUACUACUACUACUACUACUACUACUACUAAUAAUAAUAAUAAUAAUAAUAAUAAUAAUAAUAAUAAUAAUAAUAAUAAUAAUAAUAAUAGUAGUAUUCGUGACAGUAGUAAUAAUAAAAUGAAAAAUAGUAUAAAUAAUUAUAACAUCGAUUCUGCACAUACCGAAAAAGAAAUAUUAAAUUUCAAAACACAUAUAAAUACUGUUUUACCAUUAGUAGGUGAUUAUAUGUAUAGAGUAGUGGCAAAAAAUGAAAAAAAUGUUAAAGACAAAUUAAAUGAUAAAAACAUUUCAAAUAUUGAAAAAUUGAAUAUUUUUAAAAAAUUAAUUGAUAUUAAAAAAUAUAAUAAAAAAUGUUUAAUUCCAUCUAACGAAAACACAGUAAAAAAUAAAUGGACAAUUGUGAAAACAGAACAAAAUGAGAACAAAAUUGUUUUAAUAGAUGAAGAUGAUGAUGAGGACAAUGACAUAGACGAAAAUUAUGACAAUAAAAACAUUAAUGAAUAUAAUGGUGAGUAUUAUUAUUAUUAUAACGAGUCAGUAUUUGACGGUAUAGAUAAAACGAAUUAUUUAAUUGAUAAUAGUGAAAGUAAAUAUAUUAAUAAUAUUAAUAAUAAUAAUAUUAAUAAUAUUAAUAAUAUUAAUAAUAUUAAUAAUAAUAAUAAUAAUAAUANNNNNNNNNNUAAUAAUAAUAUUAAUAAUAAUAAUAAUAAUAUAUAUUAUGAUGAGUCUCAAGUAUUUGGUAAAAAACUACUUAGAGUUGGUAACGAAAAUAAAGAACAAUUCAACAACGCAGAGUCUGAAAAAGAAAAUCAAAAUUUGAAUGAAGCUUAUCAUGUCGAUCCUGAUUAUAAAAAUGGAAGUGAUAAUAUGGAUGAAAAUAUUAAUAAUACUCAAGAUGCUAUUAAAUAUCAACAAUUUUACGAUGAUACCUAACAGUUUACAAUUGACAGUUAACAAUUGGCAGUUUACAAUUGACAGUU